AGCAGCCGCGGUAAUUCCAGCUCCAAUAGCGUAUAUUAAAGUUGUUGCAGUUAAAAAGCUCGUAGUUGAAUUUCGGGGUCUGUCCAUUGGUCGGGCUUCACGGUCCGUACUGGUGAGAUGGGUUCCUACCUUCUGAAUAACCAGCAUGCCAUUUAGUUGGUGCGUUGGGGAAGCAGAGCUAUUACCUUGAAAAAAUUAGAGUGCUUAAAGCAGGCUAGUGCUUGAAUAGAUUAGCAUGGAAUAAUAAAAUAGGACGGCAUGGUUCUAUUUUGUUGGUUUCUAGGAUCACCGUAAUGAUUAAUAGGGAUAGUUGGGGGCAUUAGUAUUCAAUUGUCAGAGGUGAAAUUCUUGGAUUUAUUGAAGACUAACUUCUGCGAAAGCAUUUGCCAAGGAUGUUUUCAUUAAUCAAGAACGAAAGUUAGGGGAUCGAAGACGAUCAGAUACCGUCGUAGUCUUAACCAUAAACUAUGCCGACUAGGGAUCGGACGAAGUUAAUUUUAUAAUGACGCGUUCGGCACCUUACG
rnacentral:rRNA from 1 species